UUAGUUACAAUUUCAAAAAAACCAUUCCUGAUAUCUUGCUUCUUGCUUCGUAGAUAGAAAUUGAGAGAAGAUUGUUUUGCAGAAAAGGAAAUUGUUAUCCUUGGCUUUCUAGGGCUGGUGAAGGAAUUGGGGCAAUUGAACAUCGAGUACUUUAACGGAGACAAUAAGUGAAGGACAAAGAAAGCAUUUUCAUUUUUUUGUGUGGAUAUAUGAACCGAAAUUACAAUUGGUGAGAAAGUGAUGUCUUUAGACGAUGCAGAACGUAUAAGUUAUGCAGAAGUAUAAAUUCUGCAAUUGAUUUUCAUGUCCUGAAUCUUACAUGGGAAUGCAGCAUCGUGGAAGAGUGGCCUUCGCCCUGAGAUGGAAAAUCAAAGCAGUGUCCUCCACAAGCUCAGAGUAAUAUAUGCACAAUGCUCACAUGGUCUGAGAACAAAAGAAGAUGGACCGUGCUUAAAAAGAUGGUGCAGUUUAGAACAAAAAAAUUGUGUGAAUAAUUCUGUAAUCAAUCAUGUUAUUGAUCCCACGUUCAUUGGUUCUUUUAGAACAAGUUGAUAUUUGAGUUGUUUGGAUUGAAUGGAAUGAUUUUAUUUAUUUCUAAACUCUUGUAAGGUUGACAAUGUCAAUGGUUUAGCAGGAUUUAUAUUAAUUAGUAGAAGGCUGUGUUGUUUCUGUGA